UACGAACGGUGCGACCGUUAUUCAGCUUGAUUGGGCGUAAAGGGUGUGUAGGUGGCUUUUAAACUUUCUUGUCAAAUGCUGGAGUUAUGACUGUAGCGGGACUUUUUUAGAUUUUUAAGCUUGAGUUAGUAUUAGGUAGGAGGAAUUCUUAGUGUAGAGGUAAAAUUCGACAUCAAUAUUAGGAAGUACGCCGAUAGCGAAGGCAUCUUUCCAAUGCUAACUGACAUCGAGGCACGAAAGCACAGGUAUCGAACAGG
rnacentral:rRNA from 1 species